GUGCUGCCUUUGAGCCUCUGGCACCCUUCUUUGUGAUGCCUGGGUUAAGUUGCAGCACCAUAGUAAUUGCUAGUGCCUAACUGGGACCUCCUGCCCAUUGCCAGCUACAGGC
ensembl:snoRNA